UACGUAAAAGACUAGUGUUAGUCAUCUUUAUUAGGUUUAAAGGGUACCUAGACGGUAAAUUAAACCCCUAAAGGGUACUUUUUUUACUAGAGUUUUAUAAGAGAAAGGGAGGAUUUUUAGAAGUAGAGUAUAAAAAUUUCUUUGAUACUAAAAAAGGACUGGUAAGGGGCGAAAGGCUGCUUUUCUAUGUAAAAAACUGACGUUGAGGGACGAAGGCUUGGGGUAGCAAGUAAAGGGAUUAGAUACCCCGGGGUAAGUCCAGAUCCCAAAGGUCUCGUUGGCCAUACCCGUAAAUUCACCCCGAACCUGGACCCCGAAAUAGGCAGGGAAGGGCUGGAAGCAACCUGGCCCAAAGGGCUACAACCAAGGGGGAUAACG
rnacentral:rRNA from 1 species